GCCAUGUUGGUGUAAAUCAAGGGAGACAACUCUUAAAGCCAUGGAGAAGUAAAUGAUGAGAUGCUGCCUCUAACAGCACCGAGGCCUUAAGAAAAGUGCACAAUAUGAGAGUCCUUAGAGGAACUGGGUGUACUAAGGAUGUUUUUAAACAUUGUACUUGAUGUAAAUAUGUAUGGUCCUCUACAGAAGGAAUAUAUCAGGUGAUUUUGUUCAUUUUCAUGUGAAAGAAGUGUUAAGCCUUUCUUGUGAAAUUUAUGUAUGUAUCCAAAUUGUGUUUUGUUUCUUUUCAAAUGUUUUGUUGAUUUGUGCAUCAAAGUGCUAUGCUAGUUGUGAUAUUUUUUUGUGGAGAUUACCUUUUUUGCCGUUUCCAACGUAGUGUUUCAUGUGUUGACCUUGAUGUGAAAUUUGCUGACCUUGACAUUGUCAGUUUGAGCUUCUGUCUACAGCUCUGUCUGUUCAUUAUCUGCCAGCACUGGAUUUAACAUUUCUUCUACCCUGCUGAGCGUAUCAAUAGAUAUUUACACAUUUGGAAUAUGUAUUGGUCAGGAUUAGGAGGCAAUAACUUUAACAAAAGUAUCUGUGACCAUUGGAAAUGCUGUGACAUGGUUUUCGGUUGGAAACUUAAUAUUGACACAAUGUCUUUUUUGCCAGAAAAUAUUAUGAAACUUGACUUCAGAACAUUUUCACUUAAGUGUUAAACCACUCAGUGAAGGUGAACUUCUGUACCUGUUUUGGUUAUGUUUAUGCCAGUUUUGUUGAAAAUAUUCAAUUCUGGAAUAAAAUAUGUUUGAAUUCAGUAUGUGUUGCUUUCAAAAAAAUUCAUGAAGACAAAAGAAAAGAUGA